UGAUGAUUUAAAUGAUUAUAUAAGGUGGUGCUGCUGAAAUGUAUAAAAAUCAAAGUGGCAAGAACCAAGUGUUCUUUGUUCCAGUUUGACCGACUUGAACGUAACAGCGUGUCUCAGCUACACUCUGCUCAUCUCGAGUCUUCGCUUCUCAUUUGCUUCAGAGCAUUUCACCUGCUGUUCCAGACAACCCACUUGUGCCUGAUCCGCUGCAGGUUAACCAACCAACCAACCAACCACUCAUUAGUGAAACAAAAAAUAAGAGGAUCAUGAAGGUUCAAAUUGUCUGUUUGCUGCUGGGCCUGCUUUCUGCUGUGGAGCUCUCUGCAAGCCUGGACUUCUAUCAAAAACAUGUCAUUGGAAAAAUGCAGCCACGAGAAUGUAGUCAGAUAAUAAGGGAGAGAAACAUCAGAGAAAAAGGUGAAUUCAAAAAAAUAAAUACAUUUCUUCUGACCACAGUUAAAAAUGUCAAUAAAAUCUGUGCACGUGGUGAUGGAAGGAAGAGUGCUACGUUACUUGUUGUUGUAUGCAAUCAUGUUGGUACCAGUUCAAGUCAAGGCAAAUAUACAGGUCAAGGCCCUGAGUUCAGCAAAGUUGAUAUACAUUGUGAAGGUGGAGUGCCAGUCCACUUGUAUAGUGUGUAAAUUGGUUAAACUGUUCUGAAUUGUUGCUUUUUGCUUAGUUUGAAGUUGACACCCACCCUGGCUACAAUCUCAUCUUAUUGCUUGUCAUGAUUUUUCCUUAGUUUGCUUUAGAAAAAAAAAAUGAAUAUUGAAAAUGCAAUAAAACAUUAUGUUCUGCACUCAGUUAUCUUACAUGGAAUUCUUGAACUCAACUUGCCUUCUGUCUGCUGAAUUGAUAAAAUAAACUCACUAACCAGCU